rnacentral:rRNA from 1 species
AACAGGAUUAGAUACCCUGGUAGUCCACGCCGUAAACGAUGAGUGCUAAGUGUUGGAGGGUUUCCGCCCUUCAGUGCUGCAGCAAACGCAUUAAGCACUCCGCCUGGGGAGUACGACCGCAAGGUUGAAACUCAAAGGAAUUGACGGGGGCCCGCACAAGCGGUGGAGCAUGUGGUUUAAUUCGAAGCAACGCGAAGAACCUUACCAGGUCUUGACAUCCUUUGACCACUCUAGAGAUAGAGCUUCCCCUUCGGGGGCAAAGUGACAGGUGGUGCAUGGUUGUCGUCAGCUCGUGUCGUGAGAUGUUGGGUUAAGUCCCGCAACGAGCGCAACCCUUAUUGUUAGUUGCCAUCAUUUAGUUGGGCACUCUAGCGAGACUGCCGGUGACAAACCGGAGGAAGGUGGGGAUGACGUCAAAUCAUCAUGCCCCUUAUGACCCGGGCUACACACGUGCUACAAUGGGAAGUACAACGAGUUGCGAAGUCGCGAGGCUAAGCUAAUCUCUUAAAGCUUCUCUCAGUUCGGAUUGUAGGCUGCAACUCGCCUACAUGAAGCCGGAAUCGCUAGUAAUCGCGGAUCAGCACGCCGCGGUGAAUACGUUCCCGGGCCUUGUACACACCGCCCGUCACACCACGAGAGUUUGUAACACCCGAAGUCGGUGAGGUAACCUUUUUGGAGCCAGCCGCCUAAGGUGGGAUAGAUGAUGGGGGUGAAGUCGUAACAAGGUAACC